CCCGGGACGCGCAACGCUCGCGAGGAAAGUCCCCCCACCCGUUCGGGCGGGUGACCGGACGCAAGUCCGGAGCGGGAGACCGCUGGCUCUGGAACAGAAACGACACGUCUCGGCCAGACCGAUGAUGCGUGCGAACCCGACCGAGAGGAAGGGGAGUUGACCCGCAGAGGGAGGGCGGUUCGGAGCGCCUUUGGCGCGAGAACCGCCGAGAGGCGAGCGGCGAUAGCCGCGAGCCGCGCGUGGCCGCAUAUCGCUCGCGGUUUGAAUCCGCGGAUCACGCUCGGCGUGAUCGACCACCACUGCUGGCCGAGGAUCGAUGGAACGGCGAAUCCUCACCGGUGCAAGUCCGCGCCGUGGUAGCCCGAACACCCCGCGGCCUCGCCGCGGACGGCGCGGACGCUCAGCCGAAUGCCGGGCCGAACAGAAGGGGGCUUA
rnacentral:RNase_P_RNA from 1 species